GAUUCCCUUUCACAGCACCUCCUCUCUCUCUCCCCUGUAGCGCCUCCUCAUGCUGUUGGCUGGCUUGACCGUUCCUUGCCCCUCUCUCUUUGCCGCACCUUCCCAAAUUUCUGAUGUCGAUGCAAGCAGUUAAUUCUUCAACAAGCUGUCUAUUCCGCCUUCCUUCCUCACCCCCUCACUCCCAUCCCCUUCUGCUUCUCUGCACAGGCGAUGUAGCGGAUCGCGGACACUUUGCUGGCGGCGGCAGCUCCACGAAGUUGGCGCUGCCCGGUCAUUGGGUGAAGGGGUGGCGCGGCCGGUGGUGGCCGCGAAUAAUGCCGCGGCGAGGUUGAGGGAUUCUCGCGAGCCACGCCCCCUUCCCGUGGUCGGAUGCUCUUUUCUCUGAUCCGAUCUUCCUCUAUUUUUUCCAUGGUCUACAUCAGCUCUAUCCCUGGGCGAGAUCGAGCCCUGGGCGAGGCACGCAUGCCGUAAGAAGAAGUUCCCCCUCCUUGGCCCCUCCGAUCUAACGGACCUGGGCGCCGCCUGUUGUUUCUCUUUGACGAUUUCGAGCAAUUAGGGAUGAUAUAUGUGGGAAUUGUACCCAAAGGAGUUGGUCUAUAUAUAGUCGGAUUUGCGAGGAAAGGGGGCAAGAAAUUUAAACAGAAAUCCAUUGGAUCUGAUUUGUUGUUUCGAAUCCGGGACGGAGGACGAAGGAAA